UACGGGGGGAGCAAGCGUUGUUCGGAUUUACUGGGCGUAAAGGGCGCGUAGGCGGCCAGCACAAGUCAGUUGUGAAAUCUCCGGGCUUAACUCGGAAAGGUCAACUGAUACUGUGCGGCUAGAGUGCAGAAGGGGCAACUGGAAUUCUCGGUGUAGCAGUGAAAUGCGUAGAUAUCGAGAGGAACACCUGCGGCGAAGGCGGGUUGCUGGGCUGACACUGACGCUGAUGCGCGAAAGCCAGGGGAGCGAACGGG
rnacentral:rRNA from 1 species